CACCCCUACUCCAUAACCCCCCAGAAUACAGUGGUUACCUCCACAGACCCUGAGACGCAGAUCCCUGCUGUGAACAUUGAGGAGGAAGAGGAGGAUGGGGGACACAUUACCUGGGGGUCACCUACACCACAAGCUGGGACCUGUUUGAGACUCCUCUGCAGUCUAGCCAGUCCUGACAGCUGAGCAUAAGUGAACCCGAUACAGGGGAAGGAACCUUAGCUGCUGCCUUUGUGGCCUUAAGGAAGUGGUCACCAACCCAUUGAUCAUGAUCGACUGGUUGAUCCUGGAGCCUCUGCCAGUCAAUCGCAAUCUUCAGGCCACUAAAAGUCUGGUGGCUCAGCAGGCCUCAGGCAGGCUGCCUGCAUGCCCUGGCCCCAUGCCGUUCCCGGAAGCAGCCGUCUGCUGGCACAUCCCUGUGGCCCCUGGGGGGGAGAGGUGGUUCCCAGCCAAUGGGAGCUGCAGGGACAGUGCUGGGGACAGGGGCAGUGUACGGACACCUGCUGCCCCGCUCCCCCUGCAGGGGCCGCAGAGACAUGCCAGCAGCCAGCCGCUUCUGGGAGCAGCGUGGGGCCAGGCCAGUCAGGCAGUCUGCCUGAGCUCCACUGCGCUGCCACCUGGGAGACAUCUGUGCUUCAGAAUGACCUGAUCACGGUGAGGAGAAAAGAGGACACGGGAGGAUAUGCUCUCAGAGAUCCUGCAAGCCAGUGCUGCACUGGACCAUGAACAGAGGGCCUGGUGGGUGAAUAUUUCAAACACUAUGGAGAAAGGCCCAGGAGCCCCAUCAGGAAAAGGAGAGGGAGAUGCAUCAGGACAAAAUGUGGCUUCUCUGGCCCAAACAGAUACUGCACACUCUUGUGGACCUAUAGGUUCAACAAGCAUGGGCUUGCCUCCCUUUACAGUCAAUGGAGAACUACCUCACGCCCAGCCCCCAACAUUCCCCGUGGCAUCUGGGGCAUCAUCCCUACCCCUCCCACUCCAUGUCAGGGAACAGGAAGGACAAGCAUAGCUUCACAUACACUGACCUGCAAGUUAUAUAGUUAUACCAGUACGACCUAUAGCAUGGAUGCAGUUAUACCAGUAUAAAGAUGCCUUAUACCACUCUAUAAGAGCUAGGCAUUAUUAUUAUAGCUUAUUCCUCUUACCAUAAAGGAAUAAGCUCUACCAGUAUAACCACAUUUAUAUUGGUAUAACUACAUCCACAGUAGAUUACUUAUUACACUGGUAUAGUCAUAAUGGUACAACUUUUGGGUAUAGACACAGCCUUUGGCUAAUGAGAAAUGGUGAGUACAUAUUAGAUACACGUUUAGGGCCUGAUCCUUCACUUGUAGGUGCUUAAGAAAUGCAGGAUAAGACCCUACUGUAAAUAGUGAAUGAAUAACUAAUAAACCCCAGCUUCCUAUGGAAUUUAUCUUGCUCCUCAGGAUGCUGAGGAGUAUCAUUCAUUACCAAGGCUAUGAUUUAGUCACAGAUAUUUUGAGUAAAAAUCUUGGAUAGGUCAUGGGCAAUAAAUGAAAAUUCAUGGCCCAUGACCUGUUCAUGACUUGUACUAGAUACCCAGGACUAAAUCUUAUCUAGGGGGUGGGGGUGGCACUGCUCCAGGGGAUGAGAAUGCGGUAGCACCAGCUGCUGGAGCCACCAAGGCCAGCGGAACCAACUGCCGGGGGCCACUGAGCAGUGGCUGCCCCUGGGGCUGCCCACCUACCGCUGCUCCUGGGACCGCUGCUCAGGCAGUCCCUGGGGCCAGCCUCACAGGCCGCUGCUCGGACCUGCCUUGUUAUUCUUGUUAUACCAAGCAGCAGCUGGUGCGGCUGGCUGCGGAGCCACUCCAGCAGCAGCUGGUGUGGUUGUCCUUGGGACCAGCUGCUUGGGCAGCCUUGAGGUCAGCCACGCUGGCCACUGCAGAAGUCAUGGAAGUCGUGGAAAGUCACAGAAUCAGUGACUUCCACGUCCUCCGUGACAGAUACAGAGCCCUAUUCAUUACACAUAGUUGUUAGCAUUUAGUGGAAUUUGCGUCUAGAGACUAAAGGUUAAGUUAGUGCUAGAACCUGAAGUCUCUCUGAGCAGCGUCAGCUGGUGCUGCCUCCAAAUUCAGGGCGGGUCCACAAUCGUGUCCUAAGCUCCCUGUUAUAAAGCUACCUUUUGGAGGGUUUUUUCACUUGACUACUUUAUCUAGCUUAAAUAUGAUACUUUGAAUACAAGUUCUAUACCAAAGAGCAAAUGUUCUUACAUAGUGUCAGUAAAAUCAGUUUAUUUGUUUUGUUAAACUAUCAAACUACUCCCACUUCAAUCUUUGUAUCUCAUUUUCUUAGGAAGGUGGGGAAAGGCAAAUUUUUAAAGAAACUCUUCUGCAUGCGUUUUGAUUUUCCUCUA